rnacentral:rRNA from 1 species
GACGAACCGUGCAAACGUUGUUCGGAAUCACUGGGCUUAAAGGGCGCGUAGGGUCGGCUUACCAAGUCCGGGGUGAAAUCUUUCGGCUCAACCGGAAAAGUGACCUUGGAUACUGGUAAGCUGGAGGAAGGUAGGGGCAUGUGGAACUUCCGGUGGAGCGGUGAAAGUGCGUUGAUAUCGGAAGGAACGCCGGUGGCGAAAGCGGAACGUGCUGGACCUUUCUGACGCUGAGGCGCGUAAAGCCAGGGGAGCGAACGGGAUUAGCAUGACCCGUGAGUCCA